GCUGGGCACGGUGGCGAGUGCCUGUAGUCCUAGCUACUUGGGAGGCUGUGGCAGGAGGAUCACUUGAGCCCAGGAGUUCAAGGUUAUAGUGAGCUAUGAUUGCACCACUGCACUCCAGCCUGGGUGACAGAGUGAGACCCUGUCUCUA
rfam:Gorilla gorilla gorilla genomic chromosome, chr7, whole genome shotgun sequence